rnacentral:rRNA from 1 species
GACGACCUUAAGAGGCGUGCUUUAUCAUGCAAGUCGAACGGUAAGGCCUUUUCUUGCUGGGGUACACUAGUGGCGAACGGGUGAGUAACACGUGGGUGACCUGCCCUGCACUUCGGGAUAAGCCUGGGAAACUGGGUCUAAUACCGGAUAGGACUGCUCCUUGAGGGUGUGGUGGAAAGUUUUUUCUGUGUGGGAUGGGCCCGCGGCCUAUCAUCUUGUUGGUGGGGUAAUGGCCUACCAAGGCGGCGACGGGUAGCCGGCCUGAGAGGGUGGACGGCCACAUUGGGACUGAUACACGGCCUCACACUCCUACGGGAGGUAGGCGUGGGGAAUUUUGCUCUCUGGGCGGAAGCCUGAUGCAGCGACGCCGCGUGGGGGAUGACGGCCUUCGGUUGUAAACUCCUUUCACCCAUCGACGAAGGGUUUCUGACGGUAGAUGAGAGAAAAGCACCGGCUAACUACGUGCCAGCAGCCGCGGUAAUACGUAGGGUGCGAGCGUUGUCCGGAAUUACUGGGCGUAAAGAGCUCGUAGGUGGUUUGUCGCGUCGUCUGUGAAUUCCGGGGCUUAACUCCGGGCGUGCAGGCGGUACGGGCAUAACUUGAGUACUGUAGGGGAGACUGGAAUUCCUGGUGUAGCGGUGAAAUGCGCAGAUAUCAGGAGGAACACCGGUGGCGAAGGCGGGUCUCUGGGCAGUAACUGACGCUGAGGAGCGAAAGCAUGGGGAGCGAACAGGAUUAGAUACCCUGGUAGUCCAUGCCGUAAACGGUGGGCGCUAGGUGUGGGUUUCCUUCCACGGGAUCCGUGCCGUAGCUAACGCAUUAAGCGCCCCGCCUGGGGAGUACGGCCGCAAGGCUAAAACUCAAAGGAAUUGACGGGGGCCCGCACAAGCGGCGGAGCAUGUGGAUUAAUUCGAUGCAACGCGAAGAACCUUACCUGGGCCUGACAUAUACAGGAUCGCGCCAGAGAUGGUGUUUCCCUUGUGGCUUGUAUACAGGUGGUGCAUGGUUGUCGUCAGCUCGUGUCGUGAGAUGUUGGGUUAAGUCCCGCAACGAGCGCAACCCUUGUCUUAUGUUGCCAGCACGUUGUGGUGGGGACUCGUAAGAAACUGCCGGGGUUAACUCGGAGGAAGGUGGGGAUGACGUCAAAUCAUCAUGCCCCUUAUGUCCAGGGCUUCACACAUGCUACAAUGGUCGGUACAGUGGGUUGCCAGUCCGUGAGGGCGAGCUAAUCCCGCAAAGCCGGUCUCAGUUCGGAUCGGGGUCUGCAACUCGACCCCGUGAAGUCGGAGUCGCUAGUAAUCGCAGAUCAGCAACGCUGCGGUGAAUACGUUCCCGGGCCU